UCUUCGCCAUCUUGGACGUUAUAACGAGUUUACAUGGUGUUUCGUCGUUUCGCAUAAUUACAGAUAAUUAGUAGACUUUUUCUAACGUAUACUCACUUCCAAUAUAUCUAUCGAUAACAGCGUGAUUUUUACGGGACCACUUUCGCAAGUCGGCACGUACUUAUACGUAUUCUAUUUUCUAGCUUUAUUUUCAUAACAUUGAUAUUUUUCUCUGACAUUGAUACUUUUACACUACCUCCUAAUCAAUAAUUUUGUGUUAAUAAUUUUGAUCGAUCGAUAUCUUGUAUUACAUUAAAUAUUCAUAUAUACUUAUAUUUAUACUUGUGUAUAUAAUAUAUGAAACAGUGUUUAUUCGUAAUACGUUUGAUUUAUUUUUAUAUCUCGAAAUAAUCUGAUUAAAUAAAAUUAGAUUCAAUAUAAAUAAGCGAUGUAGAGUUUAUGCUAAUAAUACAUAUUCUUCAUGAUCCGGGGGAGGAUGCUCAUCGUGCAAAAGAUCAACAAAGUCUACUAUAAAUAAACAAUGCGGGUGAUAAUAAAUCGAGUGUUGUACCGUUUAAAUAAUAUAACAAUCAUGAAUUAGAAGAAUCCUUCGUUCGUUACUUUAAUUUCGUCCACGUUUAGCGAUUUAAGUUUUAGUAUCGUAUGCACUUAAAUCGACUGCGAGCAAAGCAGUCAGUCAUAGAGUUAGGAUUUGUUCCUAUAAAGUUUAAAAUUAUUUUUCUUUUUAUAUUGUCACAUUAUUCGCGUAGUAGAGUGAGUGCGUCAAUGAAGAUGAUCGAAAAAUAAAUACGUUUUCUUCUAUAAAAGCAUAUCGACGGUGCGUACGAAUCGCAUGUACUUAACGAUUCGGUUCGUUACCACAAAGAUUUGGGAAUUGUUCCAACGGGAACUACUGACCAACACGAGGCCGUACCAUACCGCCUCAUACCCAUCAGGGUCGAGAAGAAGACUUACUAUCCGAGUCGACUAUCGCCGUCCGAUCCUCGAGAGAAGCUCACCCAAGCAAUUCCAUAUCGCCUAACGCCGAUCAACAUUACGAAGGAGAUCGUUUGAACGGAAGACAGCUCGUAUUGGUGUCCGUCCCGUGUCAAGAACUGCACAUAGCAGGUAACGGUCAAAAAGGAUCUUACAAGAGUAGGAGGACCUUAGCGGUGGGAUGAGUUAAUACGAUAUGUCAACCGAUAAGAUGACUCGCUCUGACAAACUUGACGCAACAGCCGGCAGAAUGGAGACGCGUAGUAGAACCAGACGACCAACGGAACAAGAAAUCGGAGGAGUUCAUAGGCAACUAUUGCACAAAGAAUCUCAGUUAAAAUCACGCGAACAGGCUAUAUGCGAACGUGAAGAGAUGCUUAGGCAUCGCACCGAGUAUGCAUCCGCCGUGAAACCAGACAUCGAUCCUAUCACAUUCAUAAUGAAAGAAAUCCUCGCUAUAAGGAGUGAGAGUCGUUCUACAUCUAAUAAUCAUUUGGUUCACGAGGCAUUGGGUAUGAUACCAAAAUUUGACGAUAAAAAUAUCCCACUAACUUCAUUUAUAAAGGCAUGUAAGAGAGCGCGACAAACGAUAGAUAAAGAUCUCUUUACGAUUAGCUGCAAUACGUAAGUUGCACGAUUCCGCGUACCGCGCGAUCGAGAAGCACGAUCUUAAGAUAAUGAGUUCAGCAGAACUUUGAAACAUACUAAUGAGAGAGCAUGAAUCAAUGAUAGAAUACAUCGGUAAACUAAGAUCUCCAUGAGGCACUCAUGGAUGAAGAAGAAUAUUGGGUACAAGCUUCCGAUGUAAAAAGGUGCGAGAUUGACGAUAGUUUCUCCAUAGUUUCUGCACCGAGCUACUAAUGGAGUACUUUUCAUAUUUAUCGGCUAAUAAAUGUAAGGACCUUACAGACGCAUGCGACAAAGCAAUAGAAUUACAUUCCGCAAUGGAAUACAUCAGCACUUGCUUUCUUCGGGACGAUCCAGAGAGGAGGGAAACGAUACUGGCGUACGGAAACGGGUGUUGAAUCUUCGGUUUCGAUCUUAUGAGUUAUGGUAUUUGUGAACGGUUAUGCUCUGGAGAGCUCUCGUGUAAUGUUCACCAGAUAUUACAGGUUUAUACCAAACUUCUUCGCUAUCAGCAAACCACUCACUAAUCUCUUGAAGAAAGACAUACCAUUGAAAUGGGAAGAGAGCCAAGAGACGUCAUUAAAAACAUUAGUAAAUUUAUUAUGUCAAGAAUCACUAUUUCAAUACCCGGACUUUUCAAAACCAUUCGUCGUUGUAACAAACACAUCCAUUUACGUUAUCGGAGGAAUAUUAAGCCGAAGUGAAAUAGGGUAGGAUCUGCCUAUCGCAUAUACUAAAGCUCGAGAUUACUAAACCAAGCGGAACAGAACUACUCGACCAUAGAGAAAGAAUUAUUAGCCAUUAUAUACUCAAUGAAUUAUUUCAGAUCAUAUCUUUAUGGUAUUAAUUUCUCUUUAGUAACAGGCCACAGGCCCUUAGUAUGGCUGAAUUCCAUGAGAGCCCCUACAUCGAGAUUGAUACGAUGGCGAUUAAAACUAGUCAAAUAUAACAUUGUAUAUAAGGCCGGAAAGAGAAACGUAAACGCAGACGAUUUAUCUCGAAACCCCGUGGACCUCCAUAAACAACAAAUACUUCCGAUAGUAGGAACAAACUCGAGUGACGAAGAAAUGUAUACAGCUAGAAAUAAAGGCGCAAGCACUCAAGAGUCUAAAGAAUCUUAAAAUAAGGAAGCGGAUAAUAUAAUAAAAGAAACUGUUCAAGUCUCAUCCGACGUAUACGAUAAGACAGACGAAACUAGUGACGAAACUCCAACCGAAGAAACUUACGCUCACAUCGACAGCAAUCUAAUAGAGAUAAAAGACAGGAUGAUAAUGUAUAACGGGAAUAUUACCUUCUUUAGUACGACUAACGGAACUUUAGUAGAUCUAGACGCGAAAGUGCUAGCAGACAACCAUACAUUACCCACCAUCACCGACGCAACCCUUGGAAGAAUAAAGAAAAAUGAAAGGUACUUAACCGCAUUAUCCGUCAAGGAAAGAAUCUCACUCUCUAUUCAACUAGAGACCCUGGACGAAGUCCUUCAUUCUUUUCUUGACGCGGCCUUUGAACUACAAUUAAAAACGAUAGCAAUCUUUAGAGGACCAGUGGGAGAUAUACCCUGGGCCGAAGUAAGGCGCAAAAUUCAUUCGAUCUUUUUAGAUGGAGAAACAAAGAUCAUUAUAUUAAGGCAUGAGAUAGUGAUACCUAAGAAAAUCGAACAUCAUGAAAUAAUACAUGACAACCAUUCGACGCCUGUAGGCGGACAUAAAGAUUUAUCGGAAACUUACUCUGGGAUCCGACAAAAAUACUAUUGGGUAAAUUUAAAAAGAGAUAUUCAAAAUUAUAUACAGAAAUGAAAAAUUUAUCAACCGGAAAAGCUUGUUAGGUUAUAAACUCAUCAACCGAUGACUAUCACUGAUACGCCCGGGAAGGCGUAUAUCUAAUAAGAUAUCUAUGGACACCGUAAAUCCGAUAUCUACCACGAAAUCCGGACAUAGCUACAUCAUAACAAUGCAAUCUUUUCAGUAAAUAUUCUAUCGCGAUUCCUCUUCAACAAGCUUCUUCGGAGGAAAUCGCUAACAAAUUUAUUAAAAAUGUAAUAUGCCGAUUUGGCUUUCCAAAAGGUAUCUUGACCGACCAAGAUACUAACUUUUUGUCAGAAUUAAUGAAAGCCGUAGUUAGAAAGUCCCAAAUUCAUCAAUACCAGACAAGUGCGUACCACUCGCAAUCAAACGGUUCGAUUGAACGAACACAUCACAUCCUCGUAGAAUUUUUGAAACCGAAAACAGCCCAAAAUGGGACGCGAUUGGAUUGAUGUAGCAAUGUUUUUAUAUAAUAUAAGCGUACAUUGUAGGAACGAUGUAUACACAUCACGAACUAAUGUGUGGCCAAUUAGCCAGAACACUGAACGAGUCAGAACAGAUUAAUAAAUCUCAGGAAGCCGCGAAACGAAAUUUUAUUAACGCUAAAAAUAAAUCAAAAAUAUAUUAUGACAGAAAGCAACGAGUUGUCAAUUUUAAAAUAGAAAACCGAGUGUACCUUCUGAAAGGGUCACAUAAAGGUAAAUUCGAUGAUAAAUAUGUCGGACCAUUCGAUGUAAUAGAAGUAUUAAAUAAACACAAUAUAAAAAUACGUACCAAUAGUUGCGAUCGCGUGGUACAUGACAGACUUAAGAUCGACAAGUGCAAGGAAGAGUCGACAUCAUGAAAAGCUGUAUUACCGACACACGGUUUCUCUAAGUGCAAUAUGGCGGAACGAUUCCAUGCUCUCUAUUCCAUGAUGACGGUUGAUAAGAUGGUCCCCCACCAUAGGCUAUAAGCUAAAAUAUAAGAGAUGGUAAAUGAACUAACGGCAUCACUUGCCUUUUCGAUGUUCUACAAAACAAAUUAGCUCAAAAGUCGACGCAUAAUGUUCGCGAUGGAAACUUUUAUUUUUAUACUUAUCUUAGUAAAAGUAGCAAUAGCACUGGUAGGAUACGAUUGCGCUAUGCAAUCUCUGAACAUCACAUCGUACUCCCUCUUGGAUAUAGACGACUGCAAAAUCCCAAAUCUCCAACCAAUUAAUAACACAGUUUACGUAGAGUUACUACAGACUGCUGACUAUUACUCCUUAAGAGUUUUACAAUGUCGCGUGGAGAUAGACCGCAUGAUAUUUCAUUGUAGCAUACGCUCACAAGCAUCCAUCGUUUAUAAUGGACGUCGAAAAUACUUAUUUAUAUUGACCCAUUAAUCGUGCCAACAGUUGUACUCUAUGGGCACUCUCUCCCUAGACCCGAACGCAUUUAUAUGCGUUCAUAUUAAAGAAAAACAGCAUCGAGACAAGAAGCCUUACCCUGAGUGGUACCGUCACGACAGAUGGCACUUGCAAAGCUUCUCAAUAUAGCAACUUCUAUGGAACAUGGGAUGAUGUAAUAGUACAAGUCUCCGUUAGGAUCACACUACUUCACUACUGUCAUGACAAAAACCAAUCAAACCCAAAAUCCCUAAAAUCUGGAACCGUAUGUGCAUUGGACGAGGAAGCCUGCCUCGACUCGGAUGAAAGCGAAAGUUACUGAUCAAACAUCUCAACCGACAGCUGUGGCUUCAAUGAAUAUGACGUCCUUUAUGAAGGUCCAGCAAUGAAACUAACACCUGCCGAAUCAUCUCAAGGACCCAUACUUUACACAAUGCAGCGAAAGACGUCACGUUUGCUCUAACAAGAACCAGCAAGUUUGUAUCAUGCAAAUAUUUUUUGCUCUAUCCGUAAAAUAGAACACCUUAAGUUAUUCAUUAUAGAAACAUCACUUGGAAGAACAUUUAAAGGAAAGACUAAAACUCAGAUAUCCUCGCCUAUGUGAAUUCAAAAUUUAUAUAUGUAAAAAGACAUCUUAAGACACAACUAACCUCAUUAUAUGUCGACAUUACGCAACAAAAAUGUGCCUUUUAGCAAUAGGUUCUCAAGAAUGCUCUUUCUUUAGCAACAAUAGCACCCGAAAAAAUGGCUUAUGCCUUGAUGAAGCAGCCAGGAUACAUAGCGGUCAUCACAGCAAAAGUAUAAUAUAUAUUAUAAAAUAUAUUCCUGUGGAAGUAAAAAUCAGGCAGAAUGAGGAAUGCUAUAAGGAAUUAUCGAUCACAUAUCAGAACGACUCAUAUUUCCUAGCGCCUAAAACUCGUAUCAUUCUGAAAGAAGCUUUACCAAAAGAUUGUAAUGAAUUAUUGCCCAACAUGUAUAAUCUACAUAGAACCUAAUAUAGAGUGACUCCGAAACUGAUCGAAUCAAUACCUCCCCCAGUAAUUCAACCUCUAACGAAGCCACAGUGGAGGUACAUCGUGACCCUGAACACCUAGGAACAAACGGGGUUCUAAAUAAACUCAGGUCACAUAUCAUUGAACCAGCUGAAAAACCUGCCAUUAUCGACACUCUUGCUAGAGAAGCUAGUGGGAGACAUAUACCUUCAGGCAAAAUUUCUUUAUAUAACCUAAUGAAUGAAGAAUCAAUAAGUAAGAUUCCAUUAAAUAUGGCACAAUGACUCUGGGGAACCUUCGCAACCUUCGAAUCAGCAAGCGCCGGAGUCUUGACCAUUUUUAUCCCUCUUCGAUUAGUCAAGUUCAUCGUCGACACAAUCACCUAUGGGUACGGAUUACACGACAUUUAUGAAUGGUGCCUACAUCUCCUAGGAGUCCUAUGGAGUUCAGUAACACACCUCCUCCUCCAUCUUGCCAAAAGAGUGGAACAAGAAGAACCACCCACAAAAAUGGCACCCGAGACUACUGCCCUCCACGAGGAAAAGAGAGAACCCGCAGCUGACUCACCCGAUCGACCAAGCACAUUAUUUGAAUUAAACGCGUACUUAAAUAAAGAUAAAUAUUAAAAUGUACGUAUAUCUACGCACAUUUUCAAAUAAGAGGGAAAUUGUUACAUCCCACACCCCUCUCAUACUUAGAUUUAAAAACCUGUUAUCCACCUAUAAAAAUCUUAGUCUUCUAGAAGUAAGUCCCUAAUAAUAUUAUUGUAAAUCACUCAUUAGGUAUAAGAAGUGAUCGGGGACAUCUUACAUAUUUAUCAAUCUCUUUAUUAUGUGAAAUAUUUUUAUAUAAUCUGUAGUGCACUGGAUGGACCCCAUGAUACGUGACACACGUAACGCACUGGAUGAAAGCCAUAAUAUGCGCCACAUGUAACGUACUAAACGUUCGUAAGGUCGAGGCAACGCCUCAUCUCAAACAACGCAUCUCAGGGGUUGUAUUUUUUUUCCGACGGUUACUUUCGGUUAUUUCUUUCGAAACUUAUUCUCGAAGGUUAUUCUCGACAGUUAUUGUAAAGUAUUAAUAAAUUAAUAUUAUUAAGUUAAAGUCAGUGUGUCUUAAAUAACCCCGGCUGCUUAACUUUCAACAAAACCUCACGACGUUAUAAACUAUUUUCAAGUUACAUUAAUUAUUCUCGUGAGUCUCAAGAACUUUCUGCCGCGCAGUCGACAAGUUCAAAGCUAAGAAAAGCUAUCUGUCCAUAGGACGUGAAUUCUUAACCCUAAGUUAUUCUUUUACUAUAGACGGUGCGUACGAAUCGCAUGUACUUAACGAUUCGGUUCGUUACCACAAAGAUUUGGGAAUUGUUCCAACGGGAACUACUGACCAACACGAGGCCGUACCAUACCGCCUCAUACCCAUCAGGGUCGAGAAGAAGACUUACUAUCCGAGUCGACUAUCGCCGUCCGAUCCUCGAGAGAAGCUCACCCAAGCAAUUCCAUAUCGCCUAACGCCGAUCAACAUUACGAAGGAGAUCGUUUGAACGGAAGACAGCUCGUAUUGGUGUCCGUCCCGUGUCAAGAACUGCACAUAGCAGGUAACGGGCAAAAAGGACACAAAUCCCACAAGAGUAGGAGCACCUCAGUGUACGCCUAAAGAAGAAAUCAUAACAAAACAGCCCCGGGACAAAAAUCAGAAAGGUAAUUUCAGGAAAAUACCCUGCAUGAAGACUGUUUCAUCAUCGAGGGAUUUAAAUUUUUAUAUGGCUAUUUAAAGUCUUUCUACCUGAAAUGUAGAAGAACUUCUUUUGUACUAAAAGAGACUGAGAAAAAGAGAGAAAGAAAGAAUAUGGAAGAUAAAUGGAGAUUGGACAAUCGAGAGAGAGAGAGAGAGAGAGAGUCAGGACGAAAUAAAGAAUAAAUAGAAAUUAAAGGAGAAAAAGAGAAAGAAAUCAAGAAGAAGAGUCAAAGGCAGAAACAACGAAUGAUGUCACACCUGGCCUUCUAUCCGUUUUUCCUGCGUCGCGUAGUUGAAGCUAAAGUACGGUGCACACGAAGUAUAACUCUAUUGUCUCCGCUACGGGGGAAGAAACAUACAGAUAGAAUAUUGGUGGCAUCGGUGCAUCGCAGCCGCUUCAAAUCCGAUGGACCACUCGUAAAGGAGUGCAGUCCAGUUGAGUGCGAGACAUCGAACAGUAGGGUUGUGCAGCUCGGUAGAGGACGCCUUCUCCAUCAAUAGACAAUGGGAUCAAUUAUUCUUUACGACACACCGUUCGUUUUCUCCUUCAUUACAUUUUGUUAAUCAUUACUAUAAAAAUUAUUGUAGCCCUCGAUCUCUACGAGCGAACGGACAAACAGCUGAAAUUCUCACUUUUUCAUUUUUUCUUUUAUU